rnacentral:rRNA from 1 species
CCGCCGCGGCGGCGGGCCUACGGGAGGCAGCAGUGGGGAAUAUUGCACAAUGGGCGCAAGCCUGAUGCAGCCAUGCCGCGUGUAUGAAGAAGGCCUUCGGGUUGUAAAGUACUUUCAGCGGGGAGGAAGGUGUUGAGGUUAAUAACCUCAGCAAUUGACGUUACCCGCAGAAGAAGCACCGGCUAACUCCGUGCCAGCAGCCGCGGUAAUA